UACGUAGGGCGCAAGCGUUAUCCGGAAUUAUUGGGCGUAAAGAGCUCGUAGGCGGUUUGUCGCGUCUGCCGUGAAAGUCCGGGGCUCAACUCCGGAUCUGCGGUGGGUACGGGCAGACUAGAGUGAUGUAGGGGAGACUGGAAUUCCUGGUGUAGCGGUGAAAUGCGCAGAUAUCAGGAGGAACACCGGUGGCGAAGGCGACUACCUGGCCUGUUCUUGACGCUGAGGCGCGAAAGCUAGGGGAGCAAACGGG
rnacentral:rRNA from 1 species